AGUGAACGCUGGCGGUAGGCCUAACACAUGCAAGUCGAACGGCAGCACAGUAAGAGCUUGCUCUUACGGGUGGCGAGUGGCGGACGGGUGAGGAAUACAUCGGAAUCUACUUUUUCGUGGGGGAUAACGUAGGGAAACUUACGCUAAUACCGCAUACGACCUACGGGUGAAAGCAGGGGAUCUUCGGACCUUGCGCGACUGAAUGAGCCGAUGUCGGAUUAGCUAGUUGGCGGGGUAAAGGCCCACCAAGGCGACGAUCCGUAGCUGGUCUGAGAGGAUGAUCGGCCACACUGGAACUGAGACACGGUCCAGACUCCUACGGGAGGCAGCAGUGGGGAAUAUUGGACAAUGGGCGCAAGCCUGAUCCAGCCAUACCGCGUGGGUGAAGAAGGCCUUCGGGUUGUAAAGCCCUUUUGUUGGGAAAGAAAAGCAGCAGGUUAAUACCCCGCUGUUCUGACGGUACCCAAAGAAUAAGCACCGGCUAACUUCGUG
rnacentral:rRNA from 1 species